UACGUAGGGGGCAAGCGUUGUCCGGAUUUAUUGGGCGUAAAGAGCGUGUAGGCGGCCAAGCAGGUCCGCUGUGAAAACUCGAGGCUCAACCUCGAGACGUCGGUGGAAACCGUGUGGCUAGAGUCCGGAAGAGGAGAGUGGAAUUCCUGGUGUAGCGGUGAAAUGCGCAGAUAUCGGGAAGAACACCAGUGGCGAAGGCGGCUCUCUGGGACGGUACUGACGCUGAGACGCGAAAGCGUGGGGAGCGAACAGG
rnacentral:rRNA from 1 species